GACCCUUGGUCUUUCUCCUCAUACUGACCAAGACCUCAUUACUGUCUUAUAUGAAAAACAUACAAAGAGUACUCUCCUAAGAAGGCCAAUGGUGGUGCAACAACCCAAGACUUUUGUAGUUAUGGUGGACAACACUCUCAUGGCCUGGAGCAAAGGAAGAAUUCAUGCAACCAAACACAGAGUAAUGGUGAAGGAGAAAAGAAAGAUUCUCGACUCAAUGCUACAAUAUCCUCCAAACGCAAAAUGUUGUUGGAGUAUUGGAUUGUUAUAGUAAGUGUUCUACCCUUAUCCGUGAGGUGCAAGGGUUCAAGCAACGUGCAACAGGGAACAUGGAU